rnacentral:rRNA from 1 species
AGAGUUUGAUCCUGGCUCAGGAUGAACGCUAGCGGCAGGCUUAACACAUGCAAGUCGAGGGGCAGCGCGGGUAGCAAUACCUGGCGGCGACCGGCGAAAGGGUGAGUAACGCGUGAGCAACGUGCCCGUAUGUGGGGGAUAGUCGAUGGAAACGUCGCGUAAUACCCCGUAACAUGAGGAACCGCAUGAUUUCUCAUUGAAAGAUUUAUUGCAUACGGAUCGGCUCGCGUGCCAUUAGGUAGACGGCGGGGUAACGGCCCACCGUGCCGACGAUGGCUAGGGGUUCUGAGAGGAAGGUCCCCCACAUCGGAACUGAGACACGGUCCAGACUCCUACGGGAGGCAGCAGUGAGGAAUAUUGGACAAUGGCCGGAAGGCUGAUCCAGCCAUGCCGCGUGCGGGAGGACGGCCCUAUGGGUUGUAAACCGCUUUUGCGAGGGAGCAAUAAGGGUAACGUGUUGCCCGAUGAGAGUACCUCGCGAAUAAGCAUCGGCUAACUCCGUGCCAGCAGCCGCGGUAAUACGGAGGAUGCAAGCGUUAUCCGGAUUUAUUGGGUUUAAAGGGUGCGUAGGCGGUUUGCUAAGCGGGAGGUGAAAUGCCGGCGCUCAACGUCGGAAGUGCCUCCCGAACUGGUGGACUGGAAUGACUCUGCCGUGGGAGGAAUGUGUAGUGUAGCGGUGAAAUGCUUAGAGAUUACACAGAACACCGAUUGCGAAGGCAUCUCACGAAGGGUUGAUUGACGCUGAGGCACGAAAGCGUGGGGAUCAAACAGGAUUAGAUACCCUGGUAGUCCACGCAGUAAACGAUGAUGGCUAACCGCUGGAUCCAUCGGUUCAGUGGCCAAGCGAAAGCGAUAAGCCAUCCACCUG